rnacentral:rRNA from 1 species
GAUGAACGCUGGCGGCGUGCUUAACACAUGCAAGUCGAGCGAGAAACUACAUGCAGACACUUCGGUAGAAGCGAGUAGCGGAAAGCGGCGGACGGGUGAGUAACGCGUAGGCAACCUGCCCUUCACAGAGGUAUAGCCUCGGGAAACCGGGAUUAAAACCACAUAAAAUCAUAGGUUCGCAUGAACCAAAGGUCAAAGAUUUAUCGGUGAAGGAUGGGCCUGCGUCUGAUUAGCUGGUUGGUAGGGUAAAAGCCUACCAAGGCGACGAUCAGUAGCCGACCUGAGAGGGUGAUCGGCCACAUUGGAACUGAGACACGGUCCAAACUCCUACGGGAGGCAGCAGUGGGGGAUAUUGCACAAUGGGGGAAACCCUGAUGCAGCAACGCCGCGUGAGGUAUGAAGGCCUUUGGGUUGUAAGCCUCUGUCCUAGGGGAAGAAAAAAA